CAGUAGCCGCGGGAAUACGUAGGGUGCAAGCGUUAAUCGGAAUUACUGGGCGUAAAGCGUGCGCAGGCGGUUAUAUAAGUCAGAUGUGAAAUCCCCGGGCUCAACCUGGGAACUGCAUUUGAGACUGUAUGGCUAGAGUGUGUCAGAGGGGGGUAGAAUUCCACGUGUAGCAGUGAAAUGCGUAGAUAUGUGGAGGAAUACCGAUGGCGAAGGCAGCCCCCUGGGAUAACACUGACGCUCAUGCACGAAAGCGUGGGGAGCAAACAGGAUUAGAUACCCCGGUAGUCCCUGUCUCUUAUAC
rnacentral:rRNA from 1 species